AGAGUUUGAUCCUGGCUCAGGAUGAACGCUGGCGGCGUGCCUAACACAUGCAAGUCGAACGGACGAGAGGAGCUUGCUCCUCAAGUUAGUGGCGGACGGGUGAGUAAUGUAUGAGCAACCUGCCUUUCAGAGGGGGACAACAGUUGGAAACGACUGCUAAUGCCGCAUAAUGUAUUUCGAGGGCAUCCUUGGGAUACCAAAGGAGCAAUCCGCUGAAAGAUGGGCUCAUAUCUGAUUAGUUAGUUGGUGAGGUAACGGCUCACCAAGACAGCGAUCAGUAGCCGGACUGAGAGGUUGAACGGCCACAUUGGGACUGAGAUACGGCCCAGACUCCUACGGGAGGCAGCAGUGGGGAAUAUUGGGCAAUGGGCGAAAGCCUGACCCAGCAACGCCGCGUGAAGGAAGAAGGUCUUCGGAUUGUAAACUUCUUUUAUAAGGGACGAAGGAAGUGACGGUACCUUAUGAAUAAGCCACGGCUAACUAUGUGCCAGCAGCCGCGGUAAUACGUAGGUGGCAAGCGUUAUCCGGAUUUACUGGGUGUAAAGGGCGCGUAGGCGGGGAUGCAAGUCAGAUGUGAAAUCUAUGGGCUUAACCCAUAAACUGCAUUUGAAACUGUGUCUCUUGAGUGCUGGAGAGGUAGAUGGAAUUCCUUGUGUAGCGGUGAAAUGCGUAGAUAUAAGGAAGAACACCAGUGGCGAAGGCGAUCUACUGGACAGUAACUGACGCUGAGGCGCGAAAGCGUGGGGAGCAAACAGGAUUAGAUACCCCGGGUAGUCCUGGCCGUAAACGAUGGGUACUAGGUGUAGGAGGUAUCGACCCCUUCUGUGCCGGAGUUAACGCAAUAAGUACCCCGCCUGGGGAGUACGUCCGCAAGGAUGAAACUCAAAGGAAUUGACGGGGGCCCGCACAAGCAGUGGAUUACGUGGUUUAAUUCGAAGCAACGCGAAGAACCUUACCAGGUCUUGACAUCCAACUAACGAGAUAGAGAUAUGUUAGGUGCCCUUCGGGGAAAGUUGAGACAGGUGGUGCAUGGUUGUCGUCAGCUCGUGUCGUGAGAUGUUGGGUUAAGUCCCGCAACGAGCGCAACCCCUGCCAUUAGUUGCUACGCAAGAGCACUCUAAUGGGACCGCUACCGACAAGGUGGAGGAAGGUGGGGACGACGUCAAAUCAUCAUGCCCCUUAUGACCUGGGCUACACACGUAAUACAAUGGCCGUUAACAGAGGGAAGCAAUACAGCGAUGUGGAGCAAAACCCUAAAAACGGUCUCAGUUCGGACUGUAGGCUGAAACCCGCCUACACGAAGUUGGAAUUGCUAGUAAUCGCGGAUCAGCAUGCCGCGGUGAAUACGUUCCCGGGCCUUGUACACACCGCCCGUCAA
rnacentral:rRNA from 1 species